UACGUAGGGUGCGAGCGUUGUCCGGAAUUACUGGGCGUAAAGAGCUCGUAGGUGGUUUGUCGCGUUGUUCGUGAAAACUCACAACUCAAUUGUGGGCGUGCGGGCGAUACGGGCAGACUGGAGUACUGCAGGGGAGACUGGAAUUCCUGGUGUAGCGGUGGAAUGCGCAGAUAUCAGGAGGAACACCGGUGGCGAAGGCGGGUCUCUGGGACGUUACUGACGCUGAGACGCGAAAGCGUGGGGAGCAAACAGG
rnacentral:rRNA from 1 species